UACGUAGGGAGCAAGCGUUGUCCGGAAUCAUUGGGCGUAAAGCGCGCGUAGGUGGCCCCAUAAGUCCGCUGUGAAGGUCAAAGGCUCAACCUUUGAAAGCCGGUGGAUACUGCAUGGCUAGAGUACGGAAGAGGCGAGUGGAAUUCCUGGUGUAGCGGUGGAAUGCGCAGAUAUCAGGAGGAACACCAAUAGCGAAGGCAGCUCGCUGGGACGUUACUGACACUGAGGCGCGAAAGCGUGGGGAGCGAACAGG
rnacentral:rRNA from 1 species